AACGAACGCUGGCGGCAUGCCUAACACAUGCAAGUCGAACGAAGCCUUCGGGCUUAGUGGCGCACGGGUGCGUAACGCGUGGGAAUCUGCCCCUUGCUUCGGAAUAACAGUUAGAAAUGACUGCUAAUACCGGAUGAAGUCUUCGGACCAAAGAUUUAUCGGCAAGGGAUGAGCCCGCGUAGGAUUAGGUAGUUGGUGGGGUAAAGGCCUACCAAGCCGACGAUCCUUAGCUGGUCUGAGAGGAUGAUCAGCCACACUGGGACUGAGACACGGCCCAGACUCCUACGGGAAGCAGCAGUGGGGAAUAUUGGACAAUGGACGCGAGUCUGAUCCAGCAAUGCCGCGUGAGUGAUGAAGGCCUUAGGGUUGUAAAGCUCUUUUACCAGGGAUGAUAAUGACAGUACCUGGAGAAUAAGCUCCGGCUAACUCCGUG
rnacentral:rRNA from 1 species